ensembl:lncRNA
AUUUCUAGGCUGGCCUUGGACUCUUCCAGAUCCUCAGGAGGAGGGUUUUUCAUGAUGGAGGCUGGCAUAUCCUUUCUCCUGGAGGAAGUUUGUUGCAAAACCAAGCUUGAUUAAGAAGCAGUGGGAGAAAAGACAUAGAAAAGCUGCGGUCAUCCUGUUAAUCUGUUUUAAGGCCAGUGCAAUGAAGUCAUGCAAUGGAUUCAGUUUGGCUGGGUGAAAAAAAAUCCCAUAUUUGCAUUGCUGUAGUCCUUCACCAUUCACAUUUGAUCUGUCUGGCAUUUGAUACGAGUCAUGGACAACCUGCCUCAAGCUGCUACAAUGUCUACAGAAGAGAGAUCAUCCAAGAUAGUAAAUUAUGUGUAAUUACUUCUCCAAGAGCUGAAUUUGUGCUUCAGAAUGCAAGAAAGGCUCACAGGUUGAAGGUUUAUUUCAGGAGCUAAGAAAAUGCCAGACUUCUGGAAACCUGUUCUGAGAAGGUGAGUACACAUUUGCAUGACUGGAACGAUAUCUUUUGCUUCUGUCUUUGGUAUGAGGGCACAUUCUUUUUGUUGCUAUUAAUGUGAUUAAUCCAUGAGGCUCUCUCUAUAUUCUUACUGGUUAAAUCUGCUGGUCAUGGGUACAUCUCAAAUUUAAGCUCUUUUGCCAGCAUCCAAGAAGACUUUGUAUGUGUGGAUUCCCUUCUCUUGAUUAAAUAGUGUUAUUUCAAAAACAAACAUUAAACUUUUAUGAACUUAUACUGAUUCCUGAGUGUUGUUUGUUGAAAAAUUAUUCUCUAAAGAGGAUUUUAAAAGUGCAGGCUACUACAAGGUAUUAAUAGUGGCAAGAGAGGGCACUGGAUUCUGAAGCUUCUUGAUUCUUAGGGAUUUUAUGAGCCUUACUGUAUCCCUUGGAAGAGCUGCUUAAAGUAGGGGAAAAGGUUUUUUGAAGCUCUUGUCUCUAUACUUAAUUUGGAAUCUUGCAGCUAUUUUUAAACUUAGCUACCCUAUUUAGUUAUUCCUGCAAACUUCUUUGUCAUGUGUUCACAGAAGUGCCUUGUUAACUCUUGUCACAAGUAUUUCAUCUCAAGGAAAGUGGUGCUGUGUUUCACCAACAGAAACGUCCUGACAGCAGCUGCCAGGCAUGUACGAGAAUAAAGACAGCCUGUGCUUUUUUUUUUCCCCA